UUAAAAAAUUAGAUGUGUGACUUAGAAUAAACAGAAUCCUAUUCUUUUCUCAUUAAGUGUUGUCUUGUCUAUUUGCAGUUUACACAGAGGUUGUUUCCAAGAGAAGGAUGUAAUUUAAAGGAUGGAGACAUCAUCUAUACCAUCCCUUAUCUCUUAACAGCCCAUCAUUUGUGUUAUGGUUGGAUCAGCAGCCAGAUCUCUGCAGCUGUGUGGAGUGGGCAGACAGUUUGACAACCUGAGGAGGAAAACAAGUCAAAAGCACAGAUUGCUGGGGGCUGAAAUUUUCCACUUUCUUGUAUAACAACAUGGAAAUACUGCAGCUGGCACGUGCCACCACGUGCAGACGGAUCAGCAGCAGCACACGGAGACACUGAGCUGGCAAAAAGCAUUUCCUUGGUGUCCACACCUGCAGAGAUCUGUGCACACAGACCUGGCCACCCUCUGCUGUGCAGCUGAAUGCUCCUUCACUGCAGCCUUGCUGUGAAAGCCUCAGCCAAAGCUGCCCCUUUCUCCCCUUGCUCUGAAGCACCAUUACCUUCCUCCUCCUCCUCCUGCACAUCUGCACAGGAUAUUUUUUUGGCCCGAAUAAGAUGAGCACAGGUGGUAACAUAAGGCACAUUGCAUCUAGAUUUGACACCUGGUGCACAUAGGGCUUACAAGUUUUAAUCAGUUUUAUGCAAGUUUUUGGCACUUUGGUUUUCUAUUUUUUUUUAAUUUUUUUUUUUUUAAAACCAGUUCAAUAA